GAUCAUGGCUCAGGAUGAACGCUAGCUACAGGCUUAACACAUGCAAGUCGAGGGGCAGCAUGACCUAGCAAUAGGUUGAUGGCGACCGGCGCACGGGUGAGUAACACGUAUCCAACCUACCGGUUAUUCCGGGAUAGCCUUUCGAAAGAAAGAUUAAUACCGGAUAGUAUAACGAGAAGGCAUCUUCUUGUUAUUAAAGAAUUUCGAUAACCGAUGGGGAUGCGUUCCAUUAGUUUGUUGGCGGGGUAACGGCCCACCG
rnacentral:rRNA from 1 species